rnacentral:rRNA from 1 species
UACGUAGGGUGCGAGCGUUAAUCGGAAUUACUGGGCGUAAAGCGUGCGCAGGCGGUUUCUGAAGUCCGUGUGAAGCCCGGGCUUAACCUGGAAUGGCAGUGGAAACUAGGAGACUUGAAUCUGGCAGAGGGGGUGGAAUGCCAGCGUGUAGCAGUGAAAUGCGUAGAGAUGUGGCGGAACACCGAUGGCGAAGGCAGCCCCUGGGUCAAGACGUGACGCUCAUGCACGAAAGCGUGGGGAGGCAACAGGAUAGAACCCGUACGCAGA